CCUGGCUCAGGAUGAACGCUAGCGGGAGGCCUAACACAUGCAAGCCGAGCGGUAUAGUUUYUUCGGAAACUAGAGAGCGGCGUACGGGUGCGUAACACGUGUGCAACCUACCUUUAUCAGGGGAAUAGCCUUUCGAAAGGAAGAUUAAUACUCCAUAAUAUAUUGAAUGGCAUCAUUUAAUAUUGAAAACUCCGGUGGAUAGAGAUGGGCACGCGCAAGAUUAGAUAGUUGGUGAGGUAACGGCUCACCAAGUCAAUGAUCUUUAGGGGUCCUGAGAGGGAGAUCCCCCACACUGGUACUGAGACACGGACCAGACUCCUACGGGAGGCAGCAGUGAGGAAUAUUGGACAAUGGGUGAGAGCCUGAUCCAGCCAUCCCGCGUGAAGGAUUAAGGUCCUAUGGAUUGUAAACUUCUUUUGUACAGGGAUAAACCUAGAUACGUGUAUCUAGCUGAAGGU
rnacentral:rRNA from 1 species